UUAAAGUUUUAUUCUUGCUGAUGAAAAUUAGCUUCAAGUUUUAAUUUACAUGUAAGUUUUAGCGUGAAUAUGGAAAAAUUAAAAAUUGGUCUUCUUAAAGGGGUAUAAUUAGUAGUUAAAGGGCGCAGUGUUUGGUUUUAUAAAUCAAGGUGACUUGGAUUUAGAGAAGUUGUUAGUGUCGGCAAAAGUCGUGCCAGCAGCCGCGGUUACACGGAGGACACGAGUUAAUGUAAUUUAUUGGUUAGUAGUUAGAUAAUAUUACGCAUAUACGAGAAAUCGAAAUUUAGGUUUUUGGGGUGAAAUUUCAAAAUUUAGUGGGGGUUUCGCGUAGUGAUGAGAUUGUUGAAGCUGUGAAAUUUAAGAUUUAGACUAGGAUUAGAUACCCUAUUAUUUUAAAUGUAAAUUUAAAGUUAAAGACCUGAGUAGUAGUAGUUAUGUUCUUGAAACUCAAAGAAUUUGGCGGUGCUUUAGUCCUUUCAGAGGAACCUGUCCCGUGAUCGAUAUUCCUCGUUUAAUCUUACUUGGGUUUGUUAUGUCAGUUUGUAUACCGCCGUCGUCAGAAUGUCCUAUGAGGGUAUAGAAUUUUCUUUAAAUUUUUAGUGAAUUGGAUGUCAGGUCAAGGUGCAGCUCAUGCUCAAGUGGAGAUGGGUUACAAUAAAUAUAAAUUUAUACGGAAGAAUAGAAUACUUGAAAGAUUAGAAUUUUGAAGGUGGAUUUGAUUGUAAUUGUUUAGAUUAAGAUAGUUUGAUUCUUGGCUCUAAAGCAUGCACACAUCGCCCGUCGCUCUCGUUAUUUAAGGCGAGAUAAGUCGUAACAUAGUAGAUGUACCGGAAGGUGCAUCUGGAAAGUUU
rnacentral:ncRNA from 1 species